GCUGGCGGCGUGCCUAUCAUGCAAGUCGAGCGGAACCUUUGGAGCUUGCUCCAUUGGUUUAGCGGCGGACGGGUGAGUAACACGUGGGCAACCUGCCCUGCAGAUCGGGAUAACUCCGGGAAACCGGUGCUAAUACCGAAUAGUUUGCGGCCUCUCCUGAGGCUGCACGGAAAGACGGUUUCGGCUGUCACUGCAGGAUGGGCCCGCGGCGCAUUAGCUAGUUGGUGGGGUAAUGGCCCACCAAGGCCACGAUGCGUAGCCGACCUGAGAGGGUGAUCGGCCACACUGGGACUGAGACACGGCCCAGACUCCUACGGGAGGCAGCAGUAGGGAAUCUUCCGCAAUGGACGCAAGUCUGACGGAGCAACGCCGCGUGAGUGACGAAGGUUUUCGGAUCGUAAAACUCUGUUGUGAGGGAAGAACACGUACCAGGUAACUACUGGUACCUUGACGGUACCUCACCAGAAAGCCACGGCUAACUACGUGCCAGCAGCCGCGGUAAU
rnacentral:rRNA from 1 species